rnacentral:piRNA from 1 species
UAAGAGGUGGAUCGUGGAAUCACUCAGU